UGAGACCUUUGGAAGAUGGUUGCAGAGAAAUAAGAUGUUGACCAUAACAUUGAGUCAGUGGAGACAGAAACAAGUUGUGUUCAUGAUUGUGGGGCAGAUUCUGCACUACACUUUCUGAGGGACCCAAGGAUGCUGGGGGCAAAGAUGACUUUAAGCCACUGCUGUGCCACCCAGAUUCUGGACUGCUGUGUGAGCCAGUAUGGCUUCCAGUGUGGGAUGAAGCCAAUACUGGCAUCACGUGUACAGACAGGAGCAGGAAGCACAGAGCUGCUGCUAUAGGUGCAACAGAGAACUCUUAGAAGCUGAAACCCAUCAUUUCCAAAUGAGUCACUGGAAGCAUUUGGAUUUCAAAGGAGCCACUGUGAAGGUUGCAGCAGGUG